rnacentral:lncRNA from 10 species
AGACAAAUCAAUUUUUUAAAUGGGCAGAGGAUGUGAAUAAAUAUUUCUUCAAAGAAGAUAUAUAAAUGGCUCAUAUACACAUAAAAAUGUUGAAUGUCUUAAAUCAUUAGGGAAAUGUCCAUCAAAAACUGCAGCGAGAUACUACUUUACACUCACUGGGAUGGCUAUGAGAAGAGACAGACAACGACAGUGUUGACAAAGACCAGGAGAAAUUGAAACCCUCAAACAUUGCAGAUGGAAGUGUAAAAUGGAGCAGCCACUGUGGAAAUCAGCCUGACAGGUCCUCAAAAAGUUAAACAUAAGAGUUGCCAUACGAUCUAGCAAUUCUGCUAGGGAUGCACCCUAGAAUUAAAAACAUGUCCACGCAAAAAGUAGUACAUGCAUGUCCAUAGCAGCAUUAUUCAUAAAAGCCAAAAUAAAGUAGAAACAACCACAUGUCCACUAAGUGAUGAAUGGAUGAACGGAUAUAGUGAUGGCUCCAUACAAUGGAAUAUCACUCAGCCUUGCAAAGGAAUGAUCCAUGCUGCAGCAUGGGAGGACCUUAGAAACAACAUGCUUCGUGAAAAGAAACUAGACACAAAAGGCCACAUACUGUAUGAUUCGUUUAUAUGAAAGAUCUAGAAUAGGCAAAUCCAUAGGGACUCAAAGUAGAUUAGUAGUUACCUGGGCCUGCGGGAAGACAGCACUGGGGAGUGAUGGCUAAUGGGUACCAUGUUUCUUUUUGGGAUGAUGAAAAUGUUCUGGGGUUAGAUAAUGGUGAUUGUUUGCUAUACAACCUUGAGAAUAUACUAACCACCACUGAAUUGUACACUUUAUAAUACUGCGUUGAUGGUAUGUGGAUCAAGUCUCAAUGUAACACAAAGAAGCAUGUUGUACUGUAUAGAACACCAGGUGCCAGAAGACCAAACAUGCUGGCAGAUGGAAAAAAGAGGAGUGAAGAUUCACUCUCCCUUGACCAAGAUCAGAGUGAGUCAGUGGCGAGGCUGGGAGCCACACAGCUUGUCCUGCCUUGUGAUCCCCCUCCUCUUCCUAUUCCAGAUGGUUUUUCAGUGCCAUUAACUUGUUUUGUAACACUAAUAUUCAAUAAGAUGAUGUUACAAAGAGAAAGAAUGUGAGUGCCACAUGACUGGUUAAGUAUGGAUUCUCAAACUAGGGCUUUAAAUAUCCUUCGUGAUUUUUUUUGGCAUGAAAACUUGUAAGACCACUGGUGGGCUCUGUACAAAGUCGGCUACCCCUUCAUUCUAUAUCUUCCUCUGCCCACUUUCCUCCCAGCUAUUAAAAAUGAAUGUAGGCUGGGCACAGCAUCUCAAGCCUGUAAUCUCAGCACUUUGGGAGGCCAAAGCAGAAGGAGAGCUUGAGCCCAGGAGUUUGAGACCAGCCUGGGUAACAAAGUGAGACCCUGUUUCUAUUUUUUUUUAAACACCAAAAAUAAUGACUGUAAGGCAGUAUGUAGCCAAACAACUUGGCAAAGUUUGUUAUCUUUCCUCCAAAAUUCUCUCACUCUCCAACCUUCCCUCUUUCUUGAUAGCUCAUCCAUAGCCUUGAGCUCAGCAUUACCUCUGAACUAGGAAGCUCUUCUCCAGCUGACAUUAGGAUCUUUGCAUUUGUCCCUAAUGAAAUCAAAAUAUAGGGCCAUUCGAUAUUAUCCUCUUUUCCUCCUGUUCUAAGGCAUUCUUUUCUUGACUAAGGUUGUGCCUGGGCCAUGGAGAGACUGAGUGGGAACUGGCUCAACGGCUCAAGUUUGAGGACUCUACAGCAACUCUUUUCCACAAACCAAAUGAUAUGAAUGUUUUUAUUUAUUUAUAUUUAUGUUUCCACUUUUUAAAAGUCUUUUUGUAGAGAUUGGGGUCUCACUUUGUUGCCCAGGCUGAACUUGAACUCCAGGGGCUCAAGCGAUCUGCCUGUCUUGGCCUCCUAAAGUGCUGGGAUUACAGGCAUGAGCCAGCGCGCCCAGCCUCGAGUGUUUUUAGAUUCACAGUAGAUGACCAUUUCCAUUUCUGGUUCAAGUCCUUCAUUUUAUACAUUAAACUAAGGUGCACUGACUCCCAGUCCAUCGCCUUUUUGGUAUCUUUAUGGAAGUAAAAUGUGGCAAGCUUUUUUUCAGCCUCAAAGACUGUCUCAGAGUAAAAGUUUAAGAAGUACUGCUCUAAAUAAUUUUAUUAAAUAUGCCUUAUUAGAUGAGGAAAACUGAAAUAUUUUUAUACAAGCCUUUUGCUGUAGAACAAUGGGACAGAAUAAAGGUAGCUCACAAAAUAAGGGAAC